rnacentral:rRNA from 1 species
AUUGAACGCUGGCGGAAUGCUUUACACAUGCAAGUCGAACGGCAGCACGGACUUCGGUCUGGUGGCGAGUGGCGAACGGGUGAGUAAUGUAUCGGAACGUGCCCAGUCGUGGGGGAUAACGUAGUGAAAAUUACGCUAAUACCGCAUACGAUCUAUGGAUGAAGGCGGGGGAUCGCAAGACCUCGCGCGAUUGGAGCGGCCGAUAUCAGAUUAGGUAGUUGGUGGGGUAAAGGCCCACCAAGCCAACGAGCAGUAGCUGGUCUGAGAGGACGACCAGCCACACGGGAACUGAGACACGGUCCAGACUCCUACGGGAGGCAGCAGUGGGGAAUUUUGGACAAUGGGCGAAAGCCUGAUCCAGCCAUUCCGCGUGCAGGAUGAAGGCCCUCGGGUUGUAAACUGCUUUUGUACAGAACGAAAAGGUUUCUACUAAUACUAGGAGCUCAUGACGGUACUGUAAGAAUAAGCACCGGCUAACUACGUGCCAGCAGCCGCCGUAA